AUUGAACGCUGGCGGCAUGCCUUACACAUGCAAGUCGAACGGCAGCAUGGGUGCUUGCCCCUGGUGGCGAGUGGCGAACGGGUGAGUAAUACAUCGGAACAUGUCCUGUAGUGGGGGAUAGCCCGGCGAAAGCCGGAUUAAUACCGCAUACGAUCUACGGAUGAAAGCGGGGGACCUUCGGGCCUCGCGCUAUAGGGUUGGCCGAUGGCUGAUUAGCUAGUUGGUGGGGUAAAGGCCUACCAAGGCGACGAUCAGUAGCUGGUCUGAGAGGACGACCAGCCACACUGGGACUGAGACACGGCCCAGACUCCUACGGGAGGCAGCAGUGGGGAAUUUUGGACAAUGGGCGAAAGCCUGAUCCAGCAAUGCCGCGUGUGUGAAGAAGGCCUUCGGGUUGUAAAGCACUUUUGUCCGGAAAGAAAUCCUUGGCCCUAAGACGGUCGGGGGAUGACGGUACCGGAAGAAUAAGCACCGGCGAACUACGU
rnacentral:rRNA from 1 species